rnacentral:tRNA from 1 species
GCCUGGGUGGCUCAGUGGUUGAGCAUCUGCCUUUGGCUCAGGGUGUGAUCCUGGGGUCCAGGGAUCAAGUCCUGCCUCAGGCU